rnacentral:rRNA from 1 species
UACAGAGGUCUCAAGCGUUGUUCGGAUUCAUUGGGCGUAAAGCGUGUGUAGGCGGAUCGUUAAGUGUCUUGUGAAAUCCCACGGCUCACCCGUGGAACGGCUGGGCAUACUGGCGAUCUUGGGCCAACUAGGGGCAACUGGAACAAGCGGUGGAGCGGUGAAAUGCGUAGAUAUCGCUUGGAACGCCAAAGGUGAAAACAGGUUGCUGGGGUUGUGCCGACGCUGAGACACGAAAGCCAGGGGAGCAAACGGG